rnacentral:rRNA from 1 species
AUGUGGGGACACGCCAUGACAGAGGCGCGUGGUCGGCAGGAGGAGUCAGGGAGGCAUGAAGGUGGACAUGUUGAUGUUAUCAUGGCAUUGACACAUUUCACUCCACCGAUGCUACAUACCAGGGAUAUAUUGGAAGCCACACAGGGCACCCGAGAAGGAGAGGAGGAGAAUGCUCUGAAGAGAGGAACAAUAUGGAUGGCCAGGUUUUUCAUCAUGAUAACCAUGUUUUCAAACUUGCUAAAAGAAUACAACCAUGCCAACUUUACUCUUUCAUCAUGGUGGCCAUAUUUUCAAACUGAACAUAUUCAUAUUAUGCAAAGUUUUCCUUUUCCCAGACUAUUACUCCCUCCGUCCAAAAAUACUUGUCGGAGAAAUGCAUAA